rnacentral:misc_RNA from 1 species
AAAUGCGAUAAGUAGUGUGAAUUGCAGAAUUCAGUGAAUCAUCGAAUCUUUGAACGCACAUUGCGCCCCUUGGUAUUCCAUGGGGCAUGCCUGUUCGAGCGUCAUUUGUACCCUCAAGCUCUGCUUGGUGUUGGGUGUUUGUCCCCGUCUCCGCGCGUGGACUCGCCCCAAAGUGAUUGGCAGCCGGCGUACUGGUCCCGGAGCGCAGCACAUGUCGCGCAAACGAGUGCCUUGGUACGGCGGCGUCCAUAAGCCCCUCUCUCACGCUCUUGACCUCAGAUCAGGUAGGGAUACCCGCUGAACUUAAGC